CCCGGCUCGGGACUAGCUCGGCCAUUUUUGCUGCUGCCAGGUCGCGGUGUGGUGUUGUGGUUUAAAGCCCCGGAGUGCUCACCAGGCAUGGGUCUUAUGCACAUCACUGGUUCUGUCGCCUCUUCCCACGUUACCCAUGCCCCCAGAUGGGAGUCUGGCCUUGUAUACAGGUGAAUUCCUCCUGGGGUGAAUCCCUGUCUCAGGUGAGAUGCCACCAUAUGAGAAGGGUGCCAGGAGUGAGUCUUGGCCAGCUCCUGAUCCAGCUGCCCAGGUUAAAGAUCCUGGAGUGGAUGUCUCCACUGUGCUUGAAUCAUGGGUAGCCAGAGUCCUGGGUUCUGAAAUGCCUGGAAUGGAGCCUUGGCAUUUCUGCUAGGGGGAUAAGCGAUCAGCUGCUGGCGUUGCAGGCCUGCAUGGAAGCAUGGGUCAUCUGAGCACAGCUGGCAUGAGAUUGGUCACUUGCCACCCCAGUCUGAUGUUGAUUGGUACUUUCUGAAGCAUGACCCUGUGUCUCCUCAUCUGGCCUGGACCGAGGGUACUACUCAGACCUCCUUUGCUCCUGAAGGGUGGAGUGUGGACCAGAUGCAGUUUUACUGUGAUGCCUACCUCUUGAGCACUCUGCUGAGUUUUGACAAACUGCAGCAUCUCUGAGGGCAGGGGCAAUCAGCCUCAUAGAAUGUGUAUUGACUAUUAAAUAAAAUAUCUCUGCAGGGAG